GUAGGUGAACCUGCGGAAGGAUCAUUACCGAGUCAGGGUCUUCUAGGCCCGAAACUCCAACCCUAUGUCUAUUUACCAUGUUGCUUUGGCGGGCCCGUUUUACGACCGCCGGCGGAUUUUAACCGCUGGCCCGCGCCUGCCAGUAGCCCAAUCAAACCCUGUUUUAACUGUGAUGUCUAAAUAAAAUGAUAAAUCAUUAAAAACUUUCAACAACGGAUCUCUUGGUUCUG
rnacentral:misc_RNA from 1 species